UCGCCUACGGGACGCAGCAGUGAGGAAUAUUGGUCAAUGGCCGAGAGGCUGAACCAGCCAAGUCGCGUGAGGGAAGACGGCCCUACGGGUUGUAAACCUCUUUUGUCGGGGAGCAAAGAGAGUCACGUGUGACUCAUUGAGAGUACCCGAAGAAAAAGCAUCGGCUAACUCCGUGCCAGCAGCCGCGGUAAUACGGAGGAUGCGAGCGUUAUCCGGAUUUAUUGGGUUUAAAGGGUGCGUAGGCGGGCUUUUAAGUCAGCGGUAAAAAUUCGGGGCUCAACCCCGUCCGGCCGUUGAAACUGGGG
rnacentral:rRNA from 1 species